rnacentral:rRNA from 1 species
CCGGAUUUAUUGGGUUUAAAGGGUGCGCAGGUGGUUAAAUAAGUCAGUGGUGAAAGUCUGCCGCUUAACGGUAGGAUUGCCAUUGAUACUGUUUGACUUGAAUAUGGAUGAGGUAGGCGGAAUGUGUAGUGUGGCGGUGAAAUGCUUAGAUAUUACACAGAACACCGAUUGCGAAGGCAGCUUACUAAUCCAUGAUUGACGCUGAGGCACGAAAGCGUGGGGAUCAAACAGGAUUAGAUACCCUGGUAGUCCACGCUGUAAACGAUGAUCACUCGCUGUUUGCGAUACACAGUAAGCGGCUAAGCGAAAGCGUUAAGUGAUCCACCUGGGGAGUACGAUCGCAAGGUUGAAACUCAAAGGAAUUGACGGGGGCCCGCACAAGCGGAGGAACAUGUGGUUUAAUUCGAUGAUACGCGAGGAACCUUACCUGGGCUUAAAUGGGGAGUGACAGCUGCUGAAAGGUGGUUUUCUUCGGACACUCUCCAAGGUGCUGCAUGGUUGUCGUCAGCUCGUGCCGUGAGGUGUCGGGUUAAGUCCCAUAACGAGCGCAACCCUUACUGUUAGUUGCCAGCGGGUAAUGCCGGGGACUCUAGCGGGACUGCCACCGUAAGGUGAGAGGAAGGUGGGGAUGACGUCAAAUCAGCACGGCCCUUAUGUCCAGGGCUACACACGUGUUACAAUGGCCGGUACAAAGGGCAGCUACACCGCGAGGUGAUGCUAAUCUCCAAAGCCGGUCCCAGUUCGGAUCGAAGUCUGCAACCCGACUUCGUGAAGUUGGAUUCGCUAGUAAUCGCGCAUCAGC